AGCACGGUGCGCGUGUGCUGCAGCAGCGCCGCCUGCGCCGCCGACUCCGUGGUGUGCGAGGCCGCGCCCGCCGCGCCGCUCACCAGCGGGCUGGCGUACGACACCUGCCGGGCAACGAGCUCGUUACUAAGUUAUUUAUGUCUACGUGUCUAGGUACCGAGACGCGUAUGUUCAUCAAUCAAACUCACGAGGUUAGUGACGGCGUGUCCCAGGUUCUCGGCCUCGCUGCGCGCCGCCACCCUCAGCGGCUCCACACGCUCCAGCAUUUCUGCCGCCGUGUUUUCAAUCUGCUCCGAAUAACCUGGCAAACAGAAUAUACCGUUAACUUUGCAAAGUAUUCGCAGCGACCAUGUGAUAUAUCCGGCUCGGAAGGACCAACUUAUAGAAUUAACCUUUUUGUCUAAUAUAAGAGGCUUCUGCCAAACAUUG